GUCCGGGUGGCGGAAUUGGCAGACGCGCUAGCUUGAGGUGCUAGUGACCUUUAACGGUUGUGGGGGUUCAAGUCCCCCCUCGGACA
rfam:Nocardioides sp. PD653 DNA, contig: 8.